rnacentral:rRNA from 1 species
CAGUCGCCGCGGUAAUGCGUAGGUGGCAAGCGUUGUCCGGAAUUAUUGGGCGUAAAGGGCUCGCAGGCGGUUUCUUAAGUCUGAUGUGAAAGCCCCCGGCUCAACCGGGGAGGGUCAUUGGAAACUGGGAAACUUGAGUGCAGAAGAGGAGAGUGGAAUUCCACGUGUAGCGGUGAAAUGCGUAGAGAUGUGGAGGAACACCAGUGGCGAAGGCGACUCUCUGGUCUGUAACUGACGCUGAGGAGCGAAAGCGUGGGGAGCGAACAGGAUUAGAGACCCGUGUAGUCCCUGUCUCUUAUAC